UAUAAUUAAGUCUUGUAUUUUUAUUACUACCACAAAAAUCUUACAUAAAAUCAUACACAAAAUAAAUCACUGUUUAUUUUGUUUAAUAUAUAAAGUUAAUAUUAUAAAUUUUAAUAGUUUUGGGCUAUAUUAUUCCAUUCCAAAAUUAAUACCCAAAACACACAUAAAAUCUGUUAUGAUUUAGAUAGAAAUAUUUUCUUAAUCUUUCAUUUAAAUAUUAAUCUUAUCUACAUUAAUCCCAAAAUUAAUAAUAUAUUUAGGUUAUUUUGUUAAGUUAUUAAUUAAAUGGUCUAACUAUGACUCUUAUAUAAGAAACAAAUUUGUGGAGUCAAUAUGUGGUAUAAAUGAAACAAAUCUAUGAAAAAAAGAAAAAUAUGUCUGUAAAAAAUAAGUCAAUAUGUGAUUAAAAGAAAUAAAUAUUUGGGACACUAAAUACAUUAUAUUUUAAAAAUUUUGGUCACCUAUAUAUUCUAUAACUUUUCAUAGUCACUUAAUUUCAAAGAUCUAUCAGUAUUCUAUUCAAUAUACUAGUAACAAACAUUAAUAGAGAAAAAACAAAGAUGGCUAAAGCGACUUCUUCACUUGUUGUCCCCAUCAUCUUCCUUGUGAUGUUUCUUUCAGUUUCUCAGAAUAUGGGGGGACGAACAUGUGUGGCGGUUAUUGGAAUGAAUUGCGUGAAUUGCAGAAUCAAGUGCUACAACAAUUAUGGAAAUCUUGCAACUGCCUACUGUGAUCGCUCGGGAGGUAGUCCUGAGUACUAUAGAUGUCAAUGUACAUUUCCUUGUGGGCCUCCAAAGCAUUUGAACCAAAACAAAGUAUUUUAAAAUAAUAUCUUCUUCAAAAUGUAUAAGCAUGAAUCCUAAGUUAAAAUAUCACAAUUUAUAGUUGCUACAGUUGUCAUUAUAUAAUAAUUUUAUUUCAGAUUGGACCCAAAGCUAAAAUUCGUUGUAGUUGGAUGUUAUUGUGGGUGGUUUAUUCAAUCUGAAAUUUAAAGUAAUUUUAUAAAAUAAUAGAUCAUCUAUUAUUUAAACAUAA